AUUAGGAUGUAACUGAUGUUGUUGAUAAUGGGGGAUGGAAAGUGUUAGAACAUGUGUGUGGUGCUGCCUAAAUGAAUGUGAAUGAAAAAUAACUCCCCACUUUCCAUGGUAAGAAGUAAAAGAAUAUUACCCAGAACUGGAAAAUCAAAAGUUAGAAAUGUACAAAAUUUCCCCUUUGUUAACAUCUCUCAUCGCGCUGUGACAUCUGAGGAUAUGGAAAAUCUUUGGGUGGCUGCCUCAAGACACACCACACAGUGUGAGCAAACCGAGGCACAGGAGGAAAGAACCAGACCAUCCUUGCCCGAGCAAGGUACUGGCACAUCAGACGUCAGAGCCCUGCCUGGGAAGCCUUAACUGACAGCUUUGAAAGCCGUAACUUCUCCAAGGAGCUUUUCCAGGCCACUGGCAGCUAAACCCAGAGGAGACGAAGGUCCAGGGCCCUUCUCAGGAGGGGUGGGAGGCACCCAUGAAGAGGUCAAGUUCGGGGUUACUCACAGGAAGGACCCUGGACUGGAGGAAGACACCUGUUCUUGACAGAAUCCUGUCUCCAAUCCAGGCCCAAGGCUGGGGAGGGGCGGCUGAUGAAUCAGUGAUGGGUGUGGGCUUUUCCCCAGGCUGCAAAUGCAGAGUGGUUUAGUUGCC
ensembl:lncRNA